rnacentral:rRNA from 1 species
AUUGAACGCUGGCGGCAGGCCUAACACAUGCAAGUCGAACGGUAACAGGAAGAAGCUUGCUUCUUUGCUGACGAGUGGCGGACGGGUGAGUAAUGUCUGGGAAACUGCCUGAUGGAGGGGGAUAACUACUGGAAACGGUAGCUAAUACCGCAUAACGUCGCAAGACCAAAGAGGGGGACCUUCGGGCCUCUUGCCAUCGGAUGUGCCCAGAUGGGAUUAGCUAGUAGGUGGGGUAACGGCUCACCUAGGCGACGAUCCCUAGCUGGUCUGAGAGGAUGACCAGCCACACUGGAACUGAGACACGGUCCAGACUCCUACGGGAGGCAGCAGUGGGGAAUAUUGCACAAUGGGCGCAAGCCUGAUGCAGCCAUGCCGCGUGUAUGAAGAAGGCCUUCUGGUUGUAAAGUACUUUCAGCGGGGAGGAAGGGAGUAAAGUUAAUACCUUUACUCAUUGACGUUACCCGCAGAAGAAGCACCGGCUAACUCCGUG